UACAGAGGUCCCAAGCGUUGUUCGGAUUCACUGGGCGUAAAGGGUGCGUAGGCGGUCAUUUAAGUCUGACGUGAAAUCUCCGGGCCUAACCCGGAAACUGCGUUGGAAACUAUCUGACUAGAGGAAUGGAGGGGGGACUGGAAUACUUGGUGUAGCAGUGAAAUGCGUAGAUAUCAAGUGGAACACCAGUGGCGAAGGCGAGUCUCUGGACAUUUCCUGACGCUGAGGCACGAAAGCCAGGGGAGCAAACGGG
rnacentral:rRNA from 1 species